GUGCUCACUUCCAGCAGAACAUAUACCAAAACUGGAAUGAUACAGAGAAAAUUAGCACGGCCCCUGCACAAGGAUGACACGCAAAUUCGUGAAGCAUUCCACAUUUUU